GAAUUCAAGCAGAACCUGGAUAGAUACCAGGUUCAAUGUUCUAUGUGGCAAGCAAUGAAGAUUCUUGGCCAGGAAUUUGGAUUUUAUAUCCCUGUUAUGCCGGUUGGAGGAAGAGUUGAAUCAGAUGCAGGGGAACGAAGAACAUGCAUCUUUACAUUACAAAGAGAAUUAGAAUAACAGAAUUAUUUCUUAUAUCAAAUAAUACUAUAAUCUAAAUAAUAAAGCUCUUCGCUUUUGUA